rnacentral:lncRNA from 1 species
AAACACUCUUGAAUAAUUCCCAUUUUACAGCUGGAGAAAGCGCACAUGGAUAGUUGGAUGGAAAGGAAGUGUGAAAGUAUAUGUUAAAGCCGUUCAGUAAGAUUUAAAUUCUGCACAUAAAUGCUAUUUCUCCUGCAGCUUGUGGAAGAAACCGCAGCAGAAGGGACCACCCAGGAUAAGAAACAAAGUGGAAACCUUUACUCCAAAAGGAGCGACUCUCACCGCAGCCUCUGGGCUUGACAGCGGCCCUCCUGCCAAAGCCUGGCGGCACGGUUUGGAGGCCUGCCCAACCCUCCACGNNNNNNNNNNNNNNNNNCUGCCAGGCGAGCCGGGCGCAGAGGAGGAGCGAGGGCCGGGAGGGAUGGAGGUGACCAGCCGGCGGGGAAUGGAAAGGGGAGGAGGACCCCGAGGAGCCGGGGUGAGUCAAUGGGAACCGCCGGCCGGGGAAACGACGGCGGGCCUCGGCGAAGGAGAGGAGAUGACUCCGUGGGCCUGCGGGCGGGAUGAAGCUGCUGGGCGUCGCGCUGCUGGCCGCUGCCUUGCUCGGCACCCUCGUCUGGGCCAAGGAGACGCUGUGGGGGGACGGGCACCCCCAGACCUGCUUCUUCGAGCUGUUGAGCAGCCUGGACAACAAGUUCUGCAGGUGAGCGGCUCCCACUUUCCUUUCUAUGCUACACCGGGGCCUUGCAGAAACGCCUGGUGCAAGCCCCAGCGCGUGCAACGGGGUAAGGCUCGCCCAGUCUCGGGCUGCCCUCGUGAGCCUGGCGCGCCAGCUCCUGGGACAGCUAAUUCCCAUAUCCCCUCUGCCGGGGCUGUAAACGCCGAUGGCUUCCCCCUUUUGCUGGGAAGCAGCAAAGGAGCCCGGUAAAGCGGUGCCCGCGGUGCUGCCCGGCUUUAUGCAAGCUGGGAUCCUGCAGUCUCUGGUCCGUGUUGCAGCGUCUGAUAAAAGGCCUUGCACAGUCCAAGCUGAUGGAGAUAACAAAUGUUUCCCGCAGCAAACUUCAGCAGAAGGAGG